AAUAUUGCACAAUGGGGGAAACCCUGAUGCAGCGACGCCGCGUGAGCGAAGAAGGCCUUUGGGUCGUAAAGAUCUGUCAUAAUGGAAGAAACGGACGGGACCCUAGGCGGAAGACCCGGCUAACUACGUGCAAGACGCCGCGGUAAUACGUAGGGGGCGAGCGUUAUUCGGAAUUAUUGGGCGUAAAGGGUGCGUAGGCAGGCUUUUAAGUCAGAUGUGAAAGGCUACGGCUUAACCGUAGAUAGAAUUUGAAACUAAAAGGCUUGAGUGCAGGAGAGGAAAGUGGAAUUCCUAGUGUAGCGGUGAAAUGCGUAGAUAUUAGGAGGAACACCAGUGGCGAAGGCGACUCUCUGGACUGCAACUGACGCUGAGUCACGAAAGCGUGGGGAGCGAACA
rnacentral:rRNA from 1 species